rnacentral:rRNA from 1 species
UGAACGACUCUCGGCAACGGAUAUCUUGGCUCUCGCAUCGAUGAAGAACGUAGCGAAAUGCGAUACUUGGUGUGAAUUGCAGAAUCCCGUGAACCAUCGAGUCUUUGAACGCAAGUUGCGCCCRAGGCUUUUGGCCGAGGGCACGUCUGCYUGGGCGUCACGC